rnacentral:rRNA from 1 species
GACGAACGCUGGCGGCGUGCCUAAUACAUGCAAGUAGAACGCUGAAGGAGGAGCUUGCUUCUCCGGAUGAGUUGCGAACGGGUGAGUAACGCGUAGGUAACCUGCCUGGUAGCGGGGGAUAACUAUUGGAAACGAUAGCUAAUACCGCAUAAGAGUAGAUGUUGCAUGACAUUUGCUUAAAAGGUGCAAUUGCAUCACUACCAGAUGGACCUGCGUUGUAUUAGCUAGUUGGUGGGGUAACGGCUUACCAAGGCGACGAUACAUAGCCGACCUGAGAGGGUGAUCGGCCACACUGGGACUGAGACACGGCCCAGACUCCUACGGGAGGCAGCAGUAGGGAAUCUUCGGCAAUGGACGGAAGUCUGACCGAGCAACGCCGCGUGAGUGAAGAAGGGUUUCGGAUCGUAAAGCUCUGUUGUAAGAGAAGAACGAGUGUGAGAGUGGAAAGUUCACACUGUGACGGUAGCUUACCAGAAAGGGACGGCUAACUACGUG